rnacentral:tRNA from 1 species
GAGGGGUACCCAAGCGGUCAACGGGAUCAGACUGUAAAUCUGACGGCUCAGCCUUCGCAGGUUCGAAUCCUGCCCCCUCC